UACGUAGGGUGCAAGCGUUAAUCGGAAUUACUGGGCGUAAAGCGUGCGCAGGCGGUUUGUAAGUCAGAUGUGAAAUCCCCGGGCUCAACCUGGGAACUGCAUCUGUGACUGCAUCGCUGGAGUGCGGCAGAGGGGGAUGGAAUUCCGCGUGUAGCAGUGAAAUGCGUAGAUAUGCGGAGGAACACCGAUGGCGAAGGCAAUCCCCUGGACCUGUACUGACGCUCAUGCACGAAAGCGUGGGGAGCAAACAGG
rnacentral:rRNA from 1 species